rnacentral:pre_miRNA from 1 species
CUUGUACUUCAGUUUGUCUCUCCAAACUAAUUAGUCCAAUGAACUUCUGAUUACAAAUGAGUAACCACUAACUUCUGAGUUCUGAUUAUGGAGAUAUAACUAUUGCAAUUUCUUUCCAAAGUUCAUUGCACUAAUCAGUUUGGGGAGACAAACUGAAAUGC